UGAGGUUGGCUCCUCCUUUUAUAGGCUAAGGAGGACUUGAAAUGAUGACCUAAAUGAUGAGCAAAUGCAAACCAAAUGAAAUGCAAAAGAGUAGCACAUGGAGGCACAUGGAGCACAUGGCACAUGGGUGCACAUGGCCUCCUAACUUGCACAUGGACGUCCUAGAUUAGUGGAGAGCUUCUAGAAACCUUAGCUAAUCUAGGUUAACU
rnacentral:lncRNA from 1 species